CUGUGACCGUCCCAUCCUUGCG
rnacentral:miRNA from 1 species